GGAAACGUGGCUCAGUGGGAGAGUGCUUGCCUUGCAUGCAUGAGGCCCUGGGUUCAAUUCCUCAGCACCA
rnacentral:tRNA from 1 species